UAAAAUCAUACAGGUUGUAUUGUGUUUUUGUUUUCUACAAACUUGUUCUUUGCUAAUUUUAGACCUGCAUAUAUAUUUGCAACUUUUGAAAAAUGUACAGGGGGUUUCUUUUCUUCGUUCGAAAAUCUUCAAAAAUAAGGUUGAACAAAAAGAUGGAAACAAAAUAGCAAUAAGACUGAUAGAAGUCAACAAAAAUCACUAUUGAGUGUCUCUGGAACUAGGGAUCGGAAUAAGUUCCCUCCUUCCACAAUUGUUUUUGUUUUGGGAAAGCGUGGUUUAUGUUGGGCAAUCGUCUAAGCAGUCAAUGAGAACCGCCCCUUAAAACUCUGCCGCCCAAUGUUGCUUGAUUUUAUUCGGCGGUGAUGCUUGUUAACAUAUUUUGCUCGUACACUUGGCGUUGAUCUUAUUCGGUUUCCACUGCCUCUUAUUCGAAAGCGAAGGAUUUUUGAGGGGAAAGAACCGUUUCCUAUACGGUCUCCGUCAAAUGAACACGAAACGAAUCCCACACUAGUGCAGACCUUUUUGGUCUGAGGUGUUGCGAAGAUUGCGUAGAAUCCGAUCCUUUAUUCCUUCCACAGAAAAGCAAACAAACGGAAAUUUGCAUACGUCCUUAACAGCACGUGCUCGGCAACAUGAUAUCCAUGAAAGCAAAACAAUCGUUCGAACCUCGUUUCAAAUUCCAAAAAUCGUGUUUGUGUCGCUGGCUCAACAAGUUCAGUCUCUGUACAAACAAUGUGGAGAUAAAACCUACCUUCUUCGUCCAUCCAGCCUCUUUUUGUGCACUGAAACUUGCAUCCUUGGUGGUGUGUUGAUAUUCAGCUGUCGAACACCUUUGAAUAUUACUUUCCGUGGGAGUUUUUCGUUAUUUGCUUUUACCGCCAGAGCAACCGGGAAACUUUCUCAGAUCCAUCACACCUUUUGUUAACUCUCAACCUUUUGAGAGAACGAACUAGCAAGUAUAUUUUGGAUAUUUGCCCGUAAUAAGGAAAGAACCUCCAGCCCAUCUUAAUACCAUGUAAUGUUCCAGUAGAUACUUCGCAUUGGUAAGGUAAAUUUCAUGGGCACAAGUGUAAUAUUAGGGCGAACUUCAUGUGAAUAUACUCAUGGAAUGACUUCGAGAAAAGG